rnacentral:rRNA from 1 species
CCUACGGGAGGCAGCAGUGAGGAAUAUUGGUCAAUGGACGAGAGUCUGAACCAGCCAAGUAGCGUGAAGGAUGACUGCCCUAUGGGUUGUAAACUUCUUUUAUAUGGGAAUAAAACGUUCCACGUGUGGGAUUUUGUAUGUACCAUAUGAAUAAGGAUCGGCUAACUCCGUGCCAGCAGCCGCGGUAAUACGGAGGAUCCGAGCGUUAUCCGGAUUUAUUGGGUUUAAAGGGCGCGUAGGUGGAUUGUUAAGUCAGUUGUGAAAGUUUGCGGCUCAACCGUAAAAUUGCAGUUGAAACUGGCAGUCUUGAGUACAGUAGAGGUGGGCGGAAUUCGUGGUGUAGCGGUGAAAUGCUGAGAUAUCACGAAGAACUCCGAUUGCGAAGGCAGUUCACUGGACUGCAACUGACACUGAGGCUCGAAAGUGUGGGUAUCAAACAGGAUUAGAUACCCGGGUAGUC